AUAUUAUAGAUGUCGUAUAAGCGUUACGGGAUGGCGCUGCCUGCGCAAAGCGGCGCAAGUGCGCAACACUUCCGGUGACCAGCUUCCGAAACGGAGUACACGUAGCGAAAUGCACAGUCGGCGAGUCACUCUCCGUCGCAAAGGGAACAUGUAAAGUCGAAAUACGGUUCUCGGGAGUCAUUUGUUACGCUUCUAGUCUUAAGCACAUUUAAAUAAACGUAUUCUAUCAUUGUUCUACAGUAAUCUUUAGUGUUUAGUGAAUUCGUCCAUCUUUCCAUCGUCCGCCCGGAUUCCUAUUAGUUGAAUCGUCACGGUCCGCGUUUCAGUAGUCUACGACGUAAUUUUAUCUCGUGCGCGGUGCUAGCAGUGCCGCCAGAAAUGAGACUUUGGUACCAACCAUAUAGCAGAAAACAUUGAGAGUCAACACAGGCCGGUUUUAAAUGUCCUCAAGCGCCCUCAUGACAUUAACGACGUGGACAUGUACUAUGUAGCCAAUGUUCACAUUAGGACCAAGGAUAAAGCACAUGUAUAUAUAUAUAUAUUUUUUUAGGGACCUUCAUCGGAGGGCUCAGAAAGCCUAUAGGGAUUCUGUAGCGGGAGCCAAGAAGGAAAGCUGGAGAAGAUUUUGCGAAUCGGUAGAGAGGAUACCCGCAGUCGCUAAGCUCGGCAGUCUUGGCCAAGGAUCGGGACGCGACUCUAGAGGGCAUUCAGCUCGACGACGGGACGAUGGUGACUGGGGAGCGAUGCCUGAUCCACUUGCUGGAGUCAAGCUUUCCGGGCUUCCGUGGAGGCCCGGAAGAAGACAUCCAGCAGAACCUUGAACCGGCGCAGGGCACGAGGGGAGGAUUGGUCUCUUGCGGCAAAAAUUGUUAGGCCUGACAAGGUCAAAGGAGCCGUAAGAGUUUUCAAGCCCUUUAAAUUGGCUGGGCCGGACCGGGUCUUUCCGGCCCUUCUUCAGAAGGGACUAGAGCAGAUUACCGGACCGCUCACGCGGACGCUGAAGGCCUGCUUGGCAUUGGGCUAUACGCCUAGGGCUUGAAGGCAGGCGAAAAUUGUAUUCAUCCCCAAGGCGAGAAGAACGGGUUACACUUCCGCCAAAGAUUUUCGCCCAAUCAGCCUGAAGUCCUUUCUUCUCAAGACGUUGGAAAGGCUGGUGGGUGCCUACAUACGCGACGUGGUUCUAUUGCAACAUCCGCUGCAUGUGAAUUAGCACGCGUAUCGUACGGGAUACUCCACAGAAUCGGCGCUUCACUCUGCUGUAUCGCUCAUCGAGAAGCAAUUGGAGAGGAAGGGUUACAUAGUUGGCACCUUUCUAGACAUAGGGGCUUUCGACAACACACCGCACGAGGUAAUGUGUGAGGAAGCUGCUCGCAGGGGCGUGCCGGAAAGGACAGUGGAUUGGAUCAGAGGCAUGCUCGGGCGGCAGGUAACGGCCUCAUUGGGAAUAGUGAAGAUCAGUGGAUGGGUGGAGAAAGGCUGCCCGCAGGAGGGAGUUCUCUCUCCACUCUUGUGGUGUCUGGUGGCGAACAGACUGCUCAGGACACUAAACGAAAAGAGCCUCUUUAUAUUGGGAUAUGCUAAUGUCUUGGCUAUCCUGAUAUGAGGCCCUUUCUUGGACUCUCCUGGAGCUCACGCAGAGGGCCUUGAAGGUGAUUGAGGAAUGAUGCGGCGAGACCGGUUUGUCGGUGAAUCCACUGAAGACCGGGCUCGUAAUUUUCACUCGCAGAUACAAGGUAGGCCCAGUGAAAGGGCCGGUCUUUGGGGGAACAAGAUUAGUUCCAACCGAGUCGGUUAAAUAUCUAGGAGUGAUUCUGGAUCGGAAGCUGACAUGAGAGGAACAUCUCGAGAACCGCUGUAAGAGUGCUCUUACUUCUGGACAUGCAGAAGGACAUUCGGACAGACUUGGGGUCUUAAACCAAAAAUGGUCCACUGGAUUUACACGGCAAUACUCAGACCUAGGCUACUAUACGCUUCUGUCGUGUAGUGGCCAAGGGUACUGAGAGAAACCGCUAAGUCAACACUGGAGCACGUCAUAGCUCUGGUCCUAAGAAGGGCUGUGGAAGCCAUGGAGACCACGCCGAUGGCGGCGAUGGGGGUGCUGCUUGGCGUCGAGUCUCUCGAUCGGGUGGUAGUGGCAGCUGCGGCGACGGCGGCCUACCGCCUGAGAUGCGAAUCAAGAUGGAAGGCAGGAACCUUCCACACAAGAUUUGAUGAAGGAAUCCUAUCAGGUACCAUUUUUGGAACAGGAUAGGAGGCCGGUGAUUCGUACCUUUGAAAGAAAGUACAGGAUAAGCUUCCCCGGGCGCUGGGAAUGGAACGGCUCUAAGGGACCGGUUUCUCGGGAAGAGGACAUCUGGUUCACGGACAGCUCCAGAACGAGCACGGGCUCUGGAGCUGGUCUUUACUGCCAGCACAACCGGGCAGGAAUCAUCGUUCCGCUUGGCGAACACGCUACGGUUUUCAGACGGAAGUGCUAGCCAUCAUGAGAUGUGCCCAGAACCUAUUAGAGUCUGAUAGGGUGGGAAGGCGCAUCAGGAUCUGCUCGGACAGUCAGACGGCGCUUAAGGCGCUUGAGGAUUCAAGAAUUAACUCGCGACUAGUCUGGGAUUGCAAGUGCGUACUGGAUGAGCUGGCGAGGAAUAAUGAUGUUGGCCUAGUAUGAGCACUCGCGGAUCAAGGGCAACAAAAUGACGGACCUGCUUGCUAAGGAGGUGGCCGAAACAAGGCUAUUGGGACCUGAGCCGGCUGUUGGGAUCUCCUUCUAUUUGGGCAGGGAGAGGAUCAGGAACUGGCUCCGGAAUCAGCAUCUUAAAUACUGGAGAAAAGAAACAGAGGUCAAAUGCAGACAGGCUAGAAACUUGCUAGAGGAGUGCCCUAGCAGGGACCUGGCCAGAAGCAUAAAAUCUCUAGGCAGGAGGGAUGCCAGGCUUGCAAUGUAACUACUCACGGGCCAUGGCAACCUUAAUUACCACCUGCAUAAAUUAGGUCGUAGCGAUACGCCCAACUGCAGGUUGUGUGGCGAAGAAGAAACUAGCCACUAGAGAGCAAAGAAUGGCUCGUAGACAACACCAAAUCAACGUUUUGGAGGUGGCUGAAAAUGCAGAAGGAACCCUUUGUGGCCCUGGAAUAGAUAAUUCUAUAUAAGCCAUUCCGAAGAUAUCAUGGUCACCGCAAGUGAUGUAAAAAAACGGACGUUCUAAGAGAAGAUUAUAUUUCAUUCAUUUUUUAAUAUUUUUUCAUAAAAAAAUUUAUUUACAGACCUUAAAAUAUGAACUUUUUGAUAGUGUUUUGUGAAUUCUAUUAAAUAUUUAUUAAAACGGCAAAAAAAUUCUUGAAAAUCACGUAAUUUUCCCGAUCUCAAGUAGGUAUAACCCCUUAAAACUGGCUUGUGACAACUCUCAGCCUUUUCUGAAAUAGGCUACCCCUUCCACAGCCGCGGAUUGGUACCAAAGCCUCAUUUCUGGCAGCACUGUGCCAGCCAUCUUCAUCCUCGUGGCGCGUCACUCAUUCCUAACGUCCUUCCUGACAAAAUAUACUUCCUACCACAGAAGGAAGCCACCGACGCGUCGUGUAUAUCGACAAGUGGCCUUUCAAGGCAAAUAAAUUGAGAUUAAGAAUUAGACUCUCGAGCUGUAAAUUCGGAUUCAAAUCCAGUCAUUCUGCAAUUUUUUCCGCAUCGAGUUACAAUUCCUGCGCCGUUAGCAGCUUUCCUAAGGACAGUUGUUAAAGACAGGAAGGCACAAUAAACUCUGCGUGCCAUUAAGGGGAUCCUAAAGUGCACGUCAAACUUGAUCGAGGUCGAUAAUGUAGUCAUUCGUGCAUAUCAUUAAUAAGAUUUCUUUUACAUGUUCGUAUGUAUGUAUUUCUUUUACAGAUUCGGAAAUCCUUUUUCAUAAUUAAAGUAUAUAUGUUAAUAUCAUAUAAACUGGAUUUUAUAUCAAGAAUAAACAAAAUGUUUUUCAGACUGCUCUUUUUCUAACCUAUACCUGAAUUUGCAGUUAUAAAAAGUUCAUAAAACUAAUCUUUUUUUCUAGACUUUUAAUCUUAGUUUAAAUUGUACGAUAUUGUUCGUAUGUUAUCCCUAGAAAAAUACAGUUUCAUUUUGUACAUAUAUAUCGUAGAUUUUGUAUACUAAGCAAAUAUUGUCAUCAAGUGACACCUCUACGUACCAAAAAUAAUCUCGAUAUAUUGACCUAUUUAUCGUAUUAAAAAUUUUUUUUUUCGUUUUUUAUAUUAAAUCAAUAUAAAAAACCGUAUUGCCCUAGAUUUUGGUGCGUACUUUAAUUGUGUAAAAGAGUUUUGCGAUUCUAUAAAGCCAAUUAAAAGAUUAGUUUAAUAAAAGAAUGUCGGUAAAACAGACGACUUUAGGAUCCCUUUAGUAGAGCUUCGUAUGAGGGCAACCCCUCAGUCUAUUAUUAAUAUUAUUAUUGUUGUUGUUAUUGUUGUCGUUCAUAUUAUUACUAUUGUUAUUAUUAUUAUUAUUAUAAAGGCUGCGUUUCGAUAUCCAGUGCCAGUACUAAAAAUCUAUAGUGUAUGUAACGAAACUAUAGAUUUUCAGUACUGGCAGUAAAUAUCAGAAUGCCUAAGUUGAGGUUGCAUUUCUUUCUAGUAAAUAAAAAUCCAAUCGAUUAUUGUAAUCUCUAAAGACAGAACGUGACUCCAUCUUAUGUGCUUCUCACUCUACACGCCUUGCUUUCCCUUCUACUAUAAUCACACUUCUACAUGUCGAUAGUAACAAUUGAGCAAAACCUUGUUCCAAAAUUAGUUUUGCAGUCAAUUUGUUGUCAAAUUUUUAGCAAGUUUUCCACAAUUUUUGUCAUUAAUUUGCUAUCGGGUUAGCAAAUUUUGUUAUGUAUUUACCAUUGAUUUGGUGACACUGUUCAAUAUAAAUUUAAAUUUGUAUAAAGUUUGGUGCUUUUUUGUCAACAAAAUUUUGUAGCAAGAUUUUAGAUGUUUUUGACAAACUUGACUAUCUGACUAUUAUCAUAGGAAGACAAAAGAAAAGAAACAUAGGGACAAAAUAUAUUAACAUCCUAGUAUUCAUGCAGCAAAGGAAAUCUGUGGAAUCUCAUCAAGAUAUUCCACAGAUAUUACAAACUGUCUCAAAGAUAUUCAAUAGAGAUUUGAAUAUAUAAAAUAUUAAUAAAAUAUACUAAUCCAGGGUUGUUAUGUUCUAAACAUAUAUGUUUAAAAUAAGUGUUUUAAACAUUACAUUAAUUUAAACACAACGCGCUUAAUAAAAGUAAUGAGUACCG